UCCUUAGAUCGUACCCACAAUUACUUGGAUAACUGUGGUAAUUCUAGAGCUAAUACAUGCGAACAGAGCUCCGACCGGAGACGGAAGGAGUGCUUUUAUUAGAUCAAAACCAAUCGGUGGCGGGUUCACGCU
rnacentral:rRNA from 1 species